AGGAGCAUUUUCUUUGUCCUGUUGACUGUUUGGACAAAUGUUUACAACCAAGAUGGUUGCUAAAUGUCUGAAUUCUGCUGAGGAGACUUUCUUCAUUUCCACAGAAGGAAGUGGUUUGGAUACAUUUUUCUCCCUCUCUUAUUUCCAAAUUAAUUUAAAACAAGCUGCAUAAAAAUUAUGACAUAAUUUUCUGGACUGCAGAAUCAAUGAGUUGCUCUCCUGAGAUGGUGAGUACCAACUAAGUCACCUGUGGUCUCUUUUGAGUAGUGAUGGGAAAAAUACUGA
rnacentral:lncRNA from 1 species